rnacentral:rRNA from 1 species
CCCUUAGAUGUUCUGGGCCGCACGCGCGCUACACUGACGAAUGCAACGAGCUUAUAACCUUGGCCGAAAGGUCUGGGUAAUCUCCAAAUUUCGUCGUGAUGGGGAUAGAUUAUUGCAAUUAUUAAUCUUCAACGAGGAAUGCCUAGUAAGCGCAAGUCAUCAGCUUGCGUUGAUUACGUCCCUGCCCUUUGUACACACCGCCCGUCGCUACUACCGAUUGAAUGAUUUAGUGAGGACUUCGGACUGGGACCGAUGCGUCUUUCGGGCUGCGUCGGUAUUCUGGAAAGAUGUCCAAACUGUAUCAUUUAGAGGAAGUAAAAGUCGUANCA